UACGUAGGGUGCGAGCGUUGUCCGGAAUUAUUGGGCGUAAAGAGCUCGUAGGCGGUGUGUCGCGUCGGCCGUGAAAACCCGCAGCUUAACUGUGGGCUUGCGGUCGAUACGGGCAUCACUGGAGUUCGGCAGGGGAGACUGGAAUUCCUGGUGUAGCGGUGAAAUGCGCAGAUAUCAGGAGGAACACCGGUGGCGAAGGCGGGUCUCUGGGCCGAUACUGACGCUGAGGAGCGAAAGCGUGGGGAGCGAACAGG
rnacentral:rRNA from 1 species